rnacentral:rRNA from 1 species
UAGCCGCCCGGUCCGUCUCGGAAUGCGAUCUCCUUGGAGUCGGGUUGCUUGGGAGUGCAGCCCUAAUCGGGUGGUAGACUCCACCUAAGGCUAAAUACUGCCGUGAGACCGAUAGCAAACAAGUACCGUGAGGGAAAGUUGCAAAGAACUUUGAAGAGAGAGUUCAAGAGUACGUGAAACUGCUCAGAGGUAAACGGGUGGGCCCUCGAAAUCCUGUGGCGAGAGGAUUCAGUCUGGUUAGUCGGACGCGCUGGUCGGAAACGAGAAGGGCUUCCCCGAGCGGGGGCCGUCCGACUGUGCGACAUCCGCCUCGCCGGACGCAUUUGACUCUCGUCCUGAGGACGCUGCAGCCGGUCGGGCAUAGCAAGCGCGACGGCCUGAAGGGCGUGAGUUGGCAGGUGGCCGGUGGCGAGCACCAGUGAGCCGCCGGUUGUAUAGCCGUCUCGUCAGUGGCACGUCGCCCGACCGAGGUGUCUCGAGGCCCGAGUGGYCUCGUCGCCUCCUCCUCCAUGGAYAAGCGGGCAAGGCUGCUGCAGGCGACCUGCGCCGUCGUGUCGCACCCUGAGGUGUGGGCUGAACGGCGCGGGGCGUUGUUGGUGGCGGCAGACCCGUGGGAGUGCUGGGGGCUAGCAGCGAGUAGGUCGGUCACCCACCCGACCCGUCUUGAAACACGGACCAAGGAGUCUAACAUGUGCGCGAGUCAAUGGGUCUUGGACAGGCCCAGAGGCGCAAUGAAAGCAAAGGUCGGCUGAAGCCGACUCAGUCGGGAUCCU